GCAGAACAACCAGCGUGUUGAUAUUAACAGCAAAAGUUAUUUAUGUGGCGAGGCACCAAGGUGAGGGAAUCAAAUACACCGGGCAUGGGAGCUAGGAUUACUGCUGAUCUUUUUCUUGUCUGCGCAGGUAACUGGGGUAAUUGGGAAAUGCACUGAAAAUUGCCUUCCCCAGCUUUGUGUUUGAUUCUGUUGUUCCUCGGGGGCGGGGGGGGGGGGGUGUUGGAAAAACGGCUGUUGUCUGGAGGUCCUAGUAAGUACUGUGGCUGUUGACUAAACUCCGUCCUUUAGCACUGCAUCUAACGUCUCUAAGAGCAGAACAACCAGGCCAGGGGAUGGAGAGAGUCAGCUCACUCUCCAUGGAAGAUCAGGAGGAAUUUUUCUUCUCUUUUUAAAAAAUAUUCAAAGUGUUUAUGGUCACAUAAUAAUUGUACAUAUUUCUGGAGCAUGCUGUAGAUGUGUCCAUCCGAUUAGGGAUCGUUUGGGAUACUUGUCUCCUGAGUCAGGCUCGUGACUCAAUGCUGGGGAUAUUCUAAAUCGUUCCUGCUCGGUGUUUUGAAAUGUGAGAUUCCGUGUCAACGCUACGCACUGACUGAGCUACAGAACCCUGGAGCUCUUCCCCCCCUUAUCCAAGCACAGCUGGAUCUGGUAGUCAUCUUCUUUCUAACUCAGCUCCCCCAUCCAGCCUUUAGACGACCCAACCCUACUCUUCUCUCCAGUUCUAGCUGCUCAUUGGUGGGAACAGAGAGGCUCCCUACACUGGUUGGUGUCUGCAGAGCUUGUGUACCAUUGGUAAUUAACUCAAAUACGAGGAUAAAGGGUGCACGUUCCUUUAUGGCUGCUUCUGACACACCUCAAAGCCUUAGGAAAGAGGAGCCGUCGUCAGUUGCCCCCGAGAGGUCACCCCUCACCCUCAUGCACCCGGCAGGAGCUCCUAAUGCCUCCGAACUCUUAUAUGAUCAUUGAACACUUUUCCCUGAUACCCAUUCUGCAAGCCCUUUGUGUAGCCCAUAACACUGCUAGUGAAUCACUUUACACAGAGACUCAUGCAUGUCACAUGGAGCUUAGUCCCUUAACGUCUCUGGUCGUCUGCUCCUCUGUACGCUGCUUCUCAAUCUGCCCC
rnacentral:lncRNA from 1 species